rnacentral:rRNA from 1 species
UACGAAGGGUGCAAGCGUUACUCGGAAUUACUGGGCGUAAAGCGUGCGUAGGUGGUUCGUUAAGUCUGUUGUGAAAGCCCCGGGCUCAACCUGGGAAUGGCAAUGGAUACUGGCAAGCUAGAGUGCGGUAGAGGGUAGUGGAAUUCCCGGUGUAGCGGUGAAAUGCGUAGAGAUCGGGAGGAACACCAGUGGCGAAGGCGGCUACCUGGACCAGCACUGACGCUGAGGCGCGAAAGCGUGGGGAGCAAACAGG